AGUUUCCAUGCUGUUUGACUGACUACUCCAUUAGAGUCUGAAGAAGGGUCCCAACGUGAAACAUUGUCCACUCACUGCCUCCACUGAUGCUGCCUGACCCGCAGUGUUCCUGCAACACUCUGUGUUUUACUGUUAACAGUGGGUUUUCCCCGGCAAGGCCACGUGUGGUGAGAUGGUUCUGUCGUGGAGCAGUGAAGGAAAAUACCCUGCCUGAACAACCUUCAGCAGUCCAAGUCCUGCUAAAUUACGUGGAGAGUUUAAAAUUAGUAAGAAGUCCGCGUCUUACAAUGGAGGGAAGAGCAAAGCGGAAGUUAUCUACGACUGGCCGUGAUUUGCUCCGUUCACUGGCUGCUCUUUGGAAGCUGCAUUUGUAAAGUGAUGAUCUGGCUUUGUGAAAAGGGCUUCCUCCAGUAAUACAACUAAAGCUCUGGUGUUGGGCUAUGCGCUUCAGCGAUGUGGCAAUGGACGUCUUUUUGUCUCUUUGGAAGCUGCAUUUGUAAAGUGAUGUCCUGGCUUUGUGAAAAGGGCUUCCUCCAGAAAUACAACUAAAGCUCUGGUGUUGGGCUGUGCGCUUCAGCGAUGUGGCAAUGGAGAUCUUUUUGUGUAGAAAAUGAAAUUAAUCGAUGGAAUGAAGCCUCAGAAAAAUGUGAUAUCAGAAAAUUUGGUUGUUGUUGAGGAAACAUGACAGGAAAUUUGUACUUUUCUAUGAUUUUGAGAGACACACAGAGCUGCCAAGUAGUACGGAUUUUCCGUAUUUUGUACCGAAAUGUGAUCAGAAUACAGAUGUAUGGAUUUGCUUUGUAAAAUACAGAUUUUUUAAAAAUCAGCCCGACUUCCUGUUUCAUCUUGCUGCUUAAAAAAUGCAAGGAUAUAAAUAGUCAUUUAGCUCUAAAAAUUAUAGCAGAUUAAUAAGUCUAUUGGUAUUUUAAACUUCAAGAUCUGCAUGGUUAUUUUUGUAAGCUUUUAUCUGCCUGUCCCGCUACAGGUUUAAACAGCGCUGUCAGUUUAGCGCUCUGGGUGGUCUGAAAAUAGCGCUCCCGGCUGGAGCACUAUUGCCUUUACACAUAGCGCUAUGGGUCACAGACUGU